UACGUAGGGGGCUAGCGUUGUCCGGAAUCAUUGGGCGUAAAGAGCGUGUAGGCGGCCCGGUAAGUCCGCUGUGAAAGUCGGGGGCUCAACCCUCGAAUGCCGGUGGAUACUGUCGGGCUAGAGUGCGGAAGAGGCGAGUGGAAUUCCUGGUGUAGCGGUGAAAUGCGUAGAUAUCAGGAGGAACACCGGUGGUGCAGACGGCUCUCUGGACCGUAACUGACGCUGAGACACGAAAGCGUGGGUAGCAAACAGG
rnacentral:rRNA from 1 species